AUUCUGUUGUUUUCUAUAUUUCUUUUGUUUUUUUUUUGUUUUGUAAUGGGUAGUAAAUUUUAGGGCAUUGUUUGGCUGUUUGAGAUGGUUGAUGCCGAUGACGGUGCUGGUUGAAAGGGAGGUGUGGAGAAGAAGAGGAAACAAUAAGAAAAGCUUGAUUCUAAUUUCACCUCAAGACCUCAGACUUCGAACAUGGAUGAAUCUGAGUCGUGGCAAGUCGGUUUUUGGACUGGAGCAUGGCUCAAAACUGGAGUAGGUUCAUUGGCACAAUAGGAAUUAAUUGGAUGCGACUAUACUGCAGUAGCGAUCGAAGAGUUGAAGGUCUCGAUUGAAAGCUCAAGCUCCACAGAAAACUGGAAGCGAAUGUAACAACAAGAAAAAUGCAACUUCAGAAUAGACAAUGUUUGACAUACUGGUGCCACGGUGGCAUCAACAUUGGUUUUGUUUUGGUUUAUAAAUUGUUGAAAUUGAUUUUAUAGAAGGUAGUUGAAUUAUAAUUUAGAGAGGGAAAAGAAAAGCAGUGUGAUGCUAUCUCUAAUGUGAUGAUUUUUGAAGAUUCAGCUUUGGGAUGAUUUGUUGUAACUUACUCAUGAAUGUUUGGAUGGCCUUUUU